rnacentral:rRNA from 1 species
UACGUAGGGUGCAAGCGUUGUCCGGAAUUAUUGGGCGUAAAGAGCUCGUAGGCGGUCUGUCGCGUCUGGUGUGAAAAUCCAGGGCUUAACCCUGGACCUGCAUCGGGUACGGGGCAGACUAGAGUGCGGUAGGGGAGAUCGGAAUCCUGGUGUAGCGGUGAAAUGCGCAGAUAUCAGGAGGAACACCGGUGGCGAAGGCGGAUCUCUGGGCCGUAACUGACGCUGAGGAGCGAAAGCAUGGGGAGCGAACAGG